rnacentral:rRNA from 1 species
UACGUAGGGUGCGAGCGUUGUCCGGAAUCAUUGGGCGUAAAGGGCGCGUAGGUGGCCCAGUCAGCGUGCGGUGAAAGCUCGGGGCUCAACCCCGGGUCGGCCGUGCGAACUACUGGGCUGGAGCACUGUAGAGGCAGGCGGAAUUCCGGGUGUAGCGGUGGAAUGCGUAGAGAUCCGGAAGAACACCGGUGGCGAAGGCGGCCUGCUGGGCAGUUGCUGACACUGAGGCGCGACAGCGUGGGGAGCAAACAGG